GUCUUUUAAAAGGUAACUUUUUAUUGACUGCUUUACUUUGAAACAUAUAAGAACUGGAUUUACAUUUUAAGAAUCUUUUUUUUUUCAUACAAAAGGUUUUAUGGGAAACCACAUCAGAGUUCAGUUAUUUACAUCUGCCAGAGUUCCGGUUUUGAACAGUGCACUAAUAUAGUGUCACAGUUGCAAUCUCUCUCUCUAUACACACACAUAUAUAUGUGAUUUCUGAGUCAUCUUUUCAUUUGAAGUCAUUUUGUAUCCCUCUUAUAUCUCAAGGUAAUGCCCAUAAUCAUUUUUAAUAGUUGUUUAUUAUGACAUCAUUGAUGUUCCAUAUAAUUUGCUUCAUCAUUCCC
rnacentral:lncRNA from 1 species